GACGAACGCUGGCGGCGUGCUUAACACAUGCAAGUCGAACGGAAAGGCCCCCACUUUUUUGGUGGGGGUGCUCGAGUGGCGAACGGGUGAGUAACACGUGGGUGAUCUGCCCUGUACUUCGGCAUAAGCUUGGGAAACUGGGUCUAAUACCGGAUAGGACCAUGGUUUAGUGUCUCAUGGUGGAAAAAUUAUUGUUUUGGUGCAGGAUGAGCUCGCGGCCUAUCAGCUUGUUGGUGGGGUAAUGGCCUACCAAGGCGUCGACGGGUAGCCGGCCUGAGAGGGUGGACGGCCACAUUGGGACUGAGAUACGGCCCAGACUCCUACGGGAGGCAGCAGUGGGGAAUAUUGCACAAUGGGCGCAAGCCUGAUGCAGCGACGCCGCGUGGGGGAUGACGGCCUUCGGGUUGUAAACUCCUUUCGUUAGGGACGAAGCCGCACCUUUUUUGGGUGUGGUGACGGUACCUUUGUUAAGAAGCACCGGCUAACUACGUG
rnacentral:rRNA from 1 species